rfam:Danio rerio chromosome 4, GRCz11 reference primary assembly.
AGCCCUGUGGUUCAGUGGAUGAGCCUCUGCCUGACAUACAGGAGACAUGGGUUCAAAUCCCACUAUUGCUU